ACAGAUGAUGUAGAUGAAGGUCCAGAUGGUUCAGAGUCUCAGUGUUCUUCCUCUCUCUCCUCCCCUCUCACUGCAGACAUGAAACACUGGCUGACAAACAUCCUGAUUCUGACUCUCUGGCUCGAGUGUAAAGGAGAAGACAGAGUGAUCCAGCGCACAGCAGAUGUCAUUGCUGCUGAAGGACACCACGUCACACUUCAAUGUUCCUUUGAAACCACCAGCACAAAUUCUUAUUUGCUCUGGUACGAACAAGAACUAAAUGGUUCUCCAAAGUUUAUGCUGCUACGAGAUAAAUUUGGAACAAGAAGAAAUGCUGCAGAGUUCAACAAAGAGAGAUUUGAUGCUGAAGUCAACAAGACAUCAGUUGAUCUGAAGAUCCAGAAGCUGCAGCUGCGAGACUCUGCUGUGUACUACUGUGCUCUGCAGCCCACAGUGACAGCAAGCAGCAAAAGAGAGGACAAAAACACUACACAACCACCACUAGUUUUCCUCUUCACUCUUGACACGUCCCCCUCCUAUUCUUCUUCACUGCCCAUCAGUAGCCCAAUUUGCACAGGCACCCUGCUGGGCAACAACACCAGUGGUGGUUACUGUUAA